CUACCCCCACGUGAAAGUCCCCUUGCUCAUGACUAAGCAAAGCUACAUUUGAGUUCUCCUUAAGCUAAAGUCUCAGCGUUGCUCCUUCACUCGGUUCAUUUCUCCUUCGUUCUCCUUCACUUAUUUGCUCAUCACAAACCAUUACUUCAGCUAAUCCAAUCAGUGAAUCAGUGGCCAUUUCUUCAGCUCGUUCAUUUUCCGAUCUAGAUCUUGAAGCAACACCCAGUUGGUAAUUAUCUCAGUUUAAAGUAUAAUUAUUUAUUUAUUUAUUAUUUUUUGUUAUAUCAUAAUAAUAGAUAUAUACCUGCAUUUAUUAAUUAAAUGAUAAUGUGUUUAAUUUAGAAUUUUUUAGAAAUCUUUUUAUUUAAAUGAUAUGUUUGAUUUAGAAUUUUUUAAUUUAAAUUUUGUUUGAACAUAGAAUUAUUUUUAAUUUAAAUUGUGUUCGAUUUAUAAUUUAUUUAAUUUAAAUUGUUAGAACUUUAAUGGAUUAAAUUAUUACUGGAAAAAUUUAUAAUAAUUUAUUCUUAAUUUAAAUGUUGUUUCCACAUUGAAUUUUUUUAUUUAAAUUGUGUUCGAUUUAUCAUUUUUUAUUUAAAUUGUGUUCGAUUUAUUUUUUAUUUAAAUUGUAUUCGAUUUAUUUUUUAUUUAAAUUGUAUUCGAUUUAUUUUUUUAUUUAAAUUGUGUUCGAUUUAUUUUUUUUAUUUAAAUUGUGUUCGAUUUAUUAUUUUUUAUUUAUAUUGUGUUCGAUUUAUCAUUUUUUUUAAUUUUUAGAAUUUUAAUGGAUUAAAUUAUUGCUGGAUGGUGUUUGUAUAAAUUGAUCUUACAUUUUGCUUAAUACGAAUAUUAAUUAUUUUGUAGAAAUGGAUAAUUUGGAACAUGAAGAUGGACUCGAAGAUGCGCAAUCGAAAAAAUAUGAGUUGAAUUGGGCUUGACUUAAAACAAAUAUAAUUUGGCCCAACAAAAUCCUAAUCCCAAAAUUAGUAAGUCCAAGCACUAAUAGAAUACCAAUAACUAUAGUGAUAUUUAUUGGUUAUAGCAUAUAAUAGCAACACCAAUAAUAACAUAACAAUAAACUAAAGACCAAUUAAGAAAAUAACUAAUAAUCAUAAUAAUACAAUAAAAUUAAUAUCAAUAAUUAUUGACUCGAUUUCUGGGUAUUAUAAUUUUGAUCUCCCUAUUUUGAAUUGUAUAAUAACAUUUUAAUUAUUAUGAAUGUUUAUGUAUAUUGGCAUUAUCUACAAUAUACUCUUUUUGGUAAUUUGAAAAUAUUGGGUGAUAUUUGGAUGAGAUCAUUUAAGCAUAUUAUUUAUAGUGAUAUGUGAAAUUAUGUUUGAGGAGAUUAAACAAUGACGUAGGUAAAAUAUUAGAUGAUAUAUUCUGGGAAUGAUUAACUUAUAGAUUUGUAGGUUGGAAAUGCCAAAUAUAGUAUAAACCUUAUUGAAUUUUCAGCAAAAUCCUCAUUAAUGAUUUUAUUCAGCCAUGUUAGAUGGAAGCUAG
rnacentral:lncRNA from 1 species